rnacentral:ncRNA from 2 species
UAUAAUUAAAUAAAAGUAACAUGUAUAAGCUUAAGAAUUGGCUUAAGCGUUUCUACCGGGUGACCGUAAAUCACUGGACUACAUGUAAGGAAAAUGACAGG